GAAAGAUUUUUUCCGGUAUUUUAUAAUGAUUUCUAGUUUUGGCUUAUUGUUUAAACAGACAUAAUUUAUAUAAAGUCCUUUGAUUAAACAUAUCAAAAAAUCAAUAAAUGAAAGGAUAGGCAAACAAAAAAAAUUAAAAUAUAAAUAAAUGUAUAAAAUCAUAAGCAUUAAAUAAAACUCUUAAUGUCUUUUUUAAAAAAAAAUGUUCUUCAUCAAAUCUGUGAUCCACUCCCAGAAUUUUACUCUGAGGCAUUAGAUAGGGAUUGGCACACUGGUCAGUUUCAGUGUCAUGAUAACCUCUUAUGCAAUUCUCCUGCUGGGCAGCGCGUUACAGAGUAUAGUGGUUUGCUGCUUAUCUAGGCCAAAUUUUGAAUUCUGGUAAACAAGAUGUGCGCGCUUACUCCGUGCCGAUUUGAAUGCGAAGACUUUGCACCAUAUAAACCACAAUAAUAACCUCGGGAUUUAUUAACUUUGAAUGCAUGGUGUUGGUUGCAUCAUCCGUAUUUUCAAAUUCCCACAUUCAAAAGACCCGCCUUUGGUGAAGGCAAAGGUAUUGUGCUAUUCUCUCCGAGGGGCAGUAUCUUAUCAGCCUUUUCAGUGUAUGUGAUUCUAACUAAGUCUUAUAGAUCCGCCGCUCUGUUCUACCUAUACCAUGUAUACAGUGAACAUAGGAUUUCUGUGAUUCUGUUCUUUUAAAAUUCAGUGAAUGGAUUAGACGCCGUUUUCAACCUUUAAAAACCCGGUGACUUGAAAGAAAAUAAAUUAAAACUUGUACCGAGAAUGGAAUUUAAAUGUGAUUAACAAAUUGAAUAUGGGUUUGUAUUAAAGGUUCAAAAAUUAAAUAUAAUUUGUGUUUAUUUCUUUUAAAAUAUAAAUAUUUCAUUAUUUAAUGAGAUAAAGUAAAAAUUCAGGAAAAAUACUUUUGUAACCUCGACUUGAAUGUUUUGAAAACGUUUGAAAAACCAAACA